rnacentral:rRNA from 1 species
AUUGAACGCUGGCGGCAUGCCUUACACAUGCAAGUCGAACGGCAGCACGGGAGCAAUCCUGAUGGCGAGUGGCGAACGGGUGAGUAAUAUAUCGGAACGUGCCCGGUCGUGGGGAUAACGUAGCGAAAGCUACGCUAAUACCGCAUACGAUCUACGGAUGAAAGGCGGGGGAUCGCAAGACCUCGCGCGAUUGGAGCGGCCGAUAUCAGAUUAGGUAGUUGGUGGGGUAAAGGCUCACCAAGCCAACGAUCUGUAGCUGGUCUGAGAGGACGACCAGCCACACUGGAACUGAGACACGGUCCAGACUCCUACGGGAGCAGCAGUGGGGAAUUUUGGACAAUGGACGCAAGUCUGAUCCAGCCAUUCCGCGUGCAGGA